AACGAACGCUGGCGGCGCGCCUAAUACAUGCAAGUCGAGCGAGAAGACGUAGCAAUACGUUUGUAAAGCGGCGAACGGGUGAGGAAUACAUGGGUAACCUACCCUCGAGUGGGGAAGUAACUAGCCGAAAGGUUAGCUAAUACCGCGUACGCUCCUUGGACUUCGGUUCAGGGAGGGAAAGACGAUACCGUGGGUAGUCGCGCUCUUGGAUGGGCGUCAUGUCCUAUCAGCUUGUUGGUGAGGUAACGGCUCACCAAGGCUUCGACGGGUAGGCUGGUCUGAGAGGACGAUCAGCCACACUGGCACUGCGACACGGGCCAGACUCCUACGGGAGGCAGCAGUAAGGAAUAUUGCGCAAUGGGCGAAAGCCUGACGCAGCGACGCCGCGUGGGGGAGUGAAGGUC
rnacentral:rRNA from 1 species